AAAGCUUCUUGAGGCCUAGGCUUGCAACCAGCACCCCAUCACCUCCACAUUCUAAUGGCCAAAGCAAGGCAUAGGACCAACCCCUGAUUCCAGGAAAUGAAGAAUGUACGGGUCAGGUGUGUUUUCAGAUUUAUAAAAGCAUACAUGUGCCGGAGGAGGGGAGACCAUCUGGCAUUGUUUGCUUGAGCAAGAGACUGGAAGCAUCCUGAGCGAAUACCAGUGGGUCCUUCUUAAGCAGCUGUCAAGGCCUCCACAUGAUCGAAUUCUGUUCACAGCAGCCUUCCCAGAACCCGGACUCCUGUCAUCGCCUGCGAGGGAAGAACAGACCGGCAGGCUCAAGCUUUCUGCACCUCCCCCUUUGUCAGCACCUCCUGCUGACACUCGGAACCGGGUCCAGAUCCAGCUGCUUCCCCCCAACUUGCGCCCCCCACCCCACCACCGGGGAUCCAGCCACCGCGCUGCCUCCCCCCACUACCACCGCGCUGCCUCCCCACACUACUGCGGUAGCAUCCCCGCUCGCCCUGCCCUCGUUCUGCUGCACCGCUAGAGCCACUGCCAUUGUGAUUUGUGAGUUACUUUUUGUGCCCUAAAGGGCGGAAAAAGAAUACGGAUUGUUAUGAGCUUGUAUUUGCGUCAGGAAGCCUGCCUAUCGUGGUAACUGUGCCAUAGAGUUUAGACGUGAAGCCCAAAGCCAGUAGAGUUUUGGGGGCCCCUUAGGAAUAGAAAAUGGGGUACAAACGGUGAGAUUUAGAAUGAGCAGAGGAGUCAUAGAUAGAUAGAAAUAUAUCUAGAUAGAUAGAAAAUAUCAGAAAGCUUACAACUGCCACAAACAUCACAAACUCCGGAAGAGUAACACAGUAUUUUUACUAAUCAACUUCCUGCCAUACCUUCAUAAUCCUUUUCCCCCAACAUUUCAUUGGUCACCCUUAUAUGAUGACA